GUAGCUUCAGUGUCCUCAAGCUUGACAAUCCUGAUAUCCCAUCUAAACUCUCAAGGCACUUUGUACUCUCCAAAUUCAGAUGUAUUAGCAUUUUCAACUGUUCUAAACCAAAAGGUAAUUCUGAUAUACUUGUAUGUGACAAGUUAAGGUAUCUCAAGGAAACCAGAUUGCACAUAUCCAUUCGAAAUCCACUGAGAAUACAAUCUGAUAAAUCCAAAACCAGAAGCUUUGGCAUAGACUGAAAAAAUCCAUCUGAUAUCUCUUCCAGAGAGCGGUUUUCUCGAAGGAUGACGGUUGUAAGUUCAGGACAGUCAGGGCUCUCAGAUAUGAUUUGAAUAUCAUUUGCCAUCAACGAAAUUCUUCUCACAUCUUUCCAGUUCUUCACUUUGGGUAUUUCACGUAUCCCGGCACGAGCUUGUACGAUACAUCUUUCUUUAUUCUUUCCUAGAUCCGAAGCUAUCCACAUGGCCAUCUCCCGCACCACAUCAUGCAAUUUUACAUAUUCUUCGGCUGCGUAUCUUAUUUCCUCAACCAACAACAAACAUGCACGGACAAGGGUCCCGAGUAUCUCAUAACCUUGGCUCAUUGCCCUCUCUCUACCUUCCUUCUCAUCAAUGAACCCCUCACCUAUCCAGUACUCUAUCAAUCUCUCUUUAUCAAUAUAACCAUCUUCAGGAAACAGAGAGCAAUACAGAAAACAUGACUUGGUCAUCUCACCAUCCAAGUUAUCGUAGCUAUACUUCAAUAUCGGAAGAAUCUCAUCUUCAACGCCUGAAAACUCUGUGGCAGAUGAAGUCAACACAUCAACUGCUCGACGCCACUCUUGUACUGAUCUUUUGCUCGCCAUUGUUUCACCAAUGACAUUAAGUGCCAAUGGUAGGCCACGACAUUUCCCAGCGACUUUUCUUGCGAGCUCGGGAAUGUCUGGGUGCCUUCCCAGUGUAUGUUCUCCGACUUUCCUUUUGAACAAAUCCCAGGCUUUGUCUGUGUCCAGACAAUGGACUUCGAUCGGGUCAUCAACUCCCAUGCGCCCACACACAUCUCGAGAGCGGGUGGUAAAUACUACUUUGCUUCUGGUUUCUCUGCUUGGAUAUGGGACUCCAAUCUUACUUAAAUUCACUUUCUCCCAUAUGUCAUCCAGAAACAACACAAAUUUCUUCCUCCUGAGAACGUUGUGGAUGUCAUGGGCUCUCUCCACGUCGCUUUUCUCGUCCCACUCUUUCCCCCCAACGCCUAGCUUUUCACCGAUGCUCCCUUGAAUCUUAUGGACUGUUGCAUUUUGUGACACCACAACCCAUAUCACAACAUUAAACCCACCAUCUCGUUUAGAAAACCUAUUGUUGAUCUGCGUGAGAAGGGUGGUUUUGCCAACCCCACCCAUACCAUACAGACCCACCAUCCCAACUUCAUCUUCCAUCAGACGGCUCCAUACCAUUUCGAGCAUUGUUUCCUGACCUAUUGUUGGUUGGAUAGGCAACUCUUCACCCUCAGCUAUAGGAGCUGCAUCAGUCACCACAUCAAAUUCUCCCUGGGAACUAAGACUCUCUACCUCCCUCAACAUUACCAUAACCCUUUUCCCAUAAAGAUAACUCUUUUCCACAUUUUUAGAAAAAAAUCGACAAAGACACAACCUUUGAAGCUCAAGGUCACUAGUCCUAAGAAGCUCAUCAUAUUGGUUUUCCAUUGUGAGGAUACUCGUAAGCCAUACCUGGACUUGAUCAAGCCUUCGACGAUGUCCAGCAAACUCUUCUCUGUCUACCCUUACUUGAACAUCAUCUCUCUUAGCCUUGAGAGCUCGCAUGGCUUUAUGGAGAGUCGCUAGAUUCUGCGGGAGGUUGUGGAUAUAACUUCCCUUGAGGCAUAGACAUUGGGAGACUUGAUUCACCACUUGAUCACAUGACACUGAGACAGAGAAACAACCUCCCAUUGCUGCACAGACGAGAGAGAGAGAGAGAGAGAUAGGGCACAAAUCAUAGAACACAGCCAGAAGCUAAGCAAUUAUUAAAAGGGAAGGAAAGAGAAGAUAAGGUUGUUGAGUAAUGCUGUCUCCGGAAAAGCAAAGGUGCAUAUUGCAUAAGUCCAAAGGUGCUAAUUUUAAAAAAUAUUUAUAGCAAAAAGCAAUUAUUCUUAGUCUUUUUAGCCUACUCCUUCAGAAGUGUUUGCCACUUUCUUACAUAUUAUGGAAACAAUUUAUAAAUGUCAGAACGAUUUGAAGAUUGAUGAUCGAGGAACAGAUAUCACAGAUCUUCACAAAGUUUCAAAUUCCGAACCAUUUUUGCGGACUACAUCGAACGCAGUCGAGAAGUGCCAAGAGUAGGUCUGUAUAUUUCAUUUUUUUUACUCAACCAUCUUCAACAACAGUAAAAAGAUAAAAACAAUCGCUAAGGAUCAUCUCAAACAGACAUCAAAGUGUUUUACGAGUUUAUGGUUCAUUCAACAGAAGCAUAAACUGAUAAACAGAAAACAGCCGUAUGAUAGAAGAAAGAGGAGUGCGUUGCAGAUCAAGCAACAGAGUAAGCACAAAGGAAUAUUAUUGUGUUCACUGAGCUAAUUUAUCAAACACGUGGUGUGCACUUGGUUCCACUAGCUCACUCCCAGCUAAAGUUAACUCGAACUCAAUCUCCUAAGCAAUUAGAUCGAUGAAAGUACACAUCUAUAAUGAUAAACCGAUCCAAAAACUCUUGUUUUAGAAAAAAAAAUGAGGACCAACUGCUUUUCAUUCUCUUGUUUUGUUUCUUUGUAUCUGUUUUUUUCUCUGGCGGGAAUUUAUGAUUCUGUGUGUUUGAUCCGGCGAUUCAGAUAACGCCACGUGUUUUUGACGAUCAAUCAUUGGCUCAUGUUCUUAUUUGGAUUCAGAUACAUAGUGGUGUACAGAGACGAGGUUCAUAUCAAAUCAAAAUACAUUUACAUUUGAAGUCUCAACAAUCGACAAAGCAAGCAUGAAAAAAAUUGCAUUGUUCAUUACAAUAACAUUAACAAAGAAGACCACAAACUUUUAGCAUAGAGAUAUACAAUAAAACAUAAAAAAAAAACUUUGUUCGUUAUACAUUUUGAGAGCAAAUCAAGAAACGCUCUUCAGUAGCAUUAUCUUCCCACUGAACCCUUUCUAACCAUUGAUCUUUACAGUAAGUCUGAAACUUGUCAUUAGUCUUUGCAACCAAUAAUGAUUGGCUUAAGAGCACGAGCCUCAGAAGAAGAAGAAAAAAACAGUAAUCUUGAUCUCAGGUGGUGGCACAAAUUCAAAGAGAGACAUUUAUUAGACUUACAAGAAAACGAAAGACGGUCUGGAAACAGGGUAGAAGAAAGAGAGUAGGCAAACGCAAUUUCAGAAGAAGAAGAAAAAAAGAAGAGAAACAGAACAAUAGUUUAUAAGAUUAUCCGGUUUUCAAGUCCUACAUAAAGGUAAGAAACGGAGUCUUGUGGCUUCGUCCUCCCAUUCAAUUCUUUCUAUCCAUUCUUUAUCAGGGCACUCUAUGACCAACUUUUCAACGUUAAGGACGCUUUUAGAAUUCAGAGGAAGCUUUCUCAGCUUCGGACAGUCACUGCGUAUGUAGAGUUUUCUCAGACGUUGAAAUGGCAGAGCAUUCCAGUAGAUGCUCUUCAGCUCAGGCAAAUCGGUCAAGUAAAGAAAUUCUAGUUUCUGGAAAGGAAUAAUAAUAUUAUUCUCUAAAACACUCUCAGCUUUCUCUUUGCUUAUUAUCUCCUCUAGUUGCACUGAGUCAGCCACACGAAGAUGAGCAAGGUUCGGAGCGAACAACAGCCACGUCAAAUCCUUUAGACCGUUACAAGAUUGUAUAUCUACUUGAGUGAGGUUUGAGAAGCAUGGACUUGACAGGCUUUUGUUCCAUGGUGUCUUCUCUAUCUUUAUCUCCUCCAACAUUUCACACCUGCGUAUGAAGAGUUCACAGAGACCAUCCAAAGAUGGCAAAACUAUUACUUUUACUCGCUCUUCCCCAAACAACUCCUCAAUACGAACAUGUUGGAUGCAUCUUCCAAUUCUGGGGUCAUGGAACAAUUUCUCCCCAACCAAAGUACUUGACGAGAUACUUACGGUUAUAUACUCUAUAUGUUGUAAGAGCUGCAGCUCCUUCAUGAGGCUCAUAUCUAGCCGCACUCUGCAACCUCGUAGCUUCAGUGUCCUCAAGCUUGACAAUCCUGAUAUCCCUUCUAAACUCUCAAGGCUCGUCCCCUCCAAAUUCAGAUGUGUUAGCAUUUUCAACCGUUCUAAACCAAAAGGUAAUUCUGAUAUCUUUGUCCCUAACAAGUUAAGGUAUCUCAAGGAAACCAGAUUGCACAUAUCCAUUCGAAAUCCACUGAGAAUACAAUCUGAUAAAUCCAAAACCAGAAGCUUUGGCAUAGACUGAAAGAAU
rnacentral:lncRNA from 1 species